rnacentral:tRNA from 1 species
AAGGAAAUUAGGUUAAAUAGACCAAGAGCCUUCAAAGCUCUAAGCAAAUAUAAUAAUAUUUAUUUCCUG